UAUGAGCUGAGCAAUCAAUGAAAGACAAGGUGAAAUAUAUGAAGCAUUUGAAAUGCUGGACAAUAUAUGAAAGACAUGGUGAAAUCAAAUACAAUAACUUUACAACUUAGACUUAUUGGAUGCGUAUUGUAAAUCUACACACUCUAUGAUUAAGAGGCAUAACUUAAAAAAAUUCACAGGGAAUUAGGAAUCAUGAUACUUUACCAGGGUCAUGGAAAAUAAGAACUAAGUACAAGUACCAUUUUAAUAAUAUAGUAGGUGAAAUUAAGAUCUUAAAGUUCAUAGCAGAUUAAACAUAGCUGAAGAGAGAAAAGGUAUAUUAAAAGAUUUUCAGAAGAGAAAAUAGAAUGAAAGAGUAAGACAAAAACUGAAAAACUAUAUGAGAUAGAGAAACAGGUUAUUUAAGGCUUGCAGUAACAUAUUUAAUUGGAAUCCCAGAAUUUUGGUGAAAAAACAUAAAUAAGUAAAUUUGAAGAGAUAAACAUUGGAAAUUUUUCUGAAAUAGAGACAUCUAAUUACAUUUAUAUUUUUAUACUUGCAUAAUAGUAACAUUCUAAAAAACAUCACAAAUCAAAAAGAAAA